GCCCAAGAGAUCGGGAUAACACCUAGGAAACAGAUGCUAAUACCGGAUAACAACGGAUGAUGCCUAUCAACUGUUUAAAAGAUGGUUCUGCUAUCACUCUUGGAUGGACCUGCGGUGCAUUAGCUAGUUGGUAGGGUAACGGCCUACCAAGGCGAUGAUGCAUAGCCGAGUUGAGAGACUGAUCGGCCACAUUGGGACUGAGACACGGCCCAAACUCCUACGGGAGGCAGCAGAC
rnacentral:rRNA from 1 species